GUAAUAAAAAGAGCAUCAAGACUGGAAGUCCAUGUUGGGAGGGAAAUAAACUGCAUAACUGAGGGAUUAUUUAUGCUUGUUGAGUAGAAAGGGGCAGUAAACCAGAACCUUUCUCUGUCCCAUAUGCAAGACCCUUUGGCACCUGGAGAUGUAACAGUGAAGCAGAAAUGGGAACCAUUCUGACCUCACAGCUGCUGAUAGAUUGAUCUGCACAGGAAAUCCAGCACUUUUUAGCACUAGAAGAAGCCAAGUGUUCAGUGAGACCAGUGCAGCCUGUGCUGUAGCAGUGACAGCUGCAGAAGCACAGAGAGAGCUGUUGUGAUUCAAUACUCAUGCUUGUCCUCUCUGGUUUUUACAGGAGUCAUGGCCAUGCUGCAGGAUUCAUGGAGUAUAUUACCAGAAAGAACUCUGCAUAGAAUCUGGUCUACUGGAGAUGGUUACUUUCCUUCCUUCCUGGCCUGGCCUAGCUGCUUCCUGCUGCCUUCCUCUUGUAUUUUGAAAAGGAAAAAUAUGAAAAAUAAUUAAUUUUCCCUUUAAAGUGAGGUAACAAAACAAAUGAUACUCAAGUCUGCGACUUAAUGGCAAAGAAUCAAGGAGAAAAAGUGGUUGCAGAUAACUCUCAGUCCAUUUUGCUGAUAACUUUUCCUCACACCAAGGGCUGUAACUCCAUAAAAUCACAGAAUCUCAGAGGACCUCACAGGAGAGCAGGAACUGUAUUGCUGGAGUAUGGGUGGACUCUCCAACCCAUCCCAAGGGGCAGAGCAGGGGGCUCCCAUGCACAUUUCCAAGGCAUUGCAUGACUGUAGGAUGAAAACUGUGAAAGUGUAGAGGAAAGUGAAGAAGUAUCAGGAGAGCAAUAAACGGGGCACUUAUCUCCUCCUUAAUCACAGCCCAGCCUUCAGGAGGUCUGCAGGGAGAACUAAUGGAUUAAAUACAGGUAUUAAAUGAAAUCUUGGAAACAUUUCCCUCACCUGGCAGGACUGAGAAGCUGAUGGUUAUGAGGGUGUGCUCCCAGUGCAUUUGAGCUGUGAGAGACGACCAAAGGAGCUGGGACCCUGGCUGACACUGUACAGCCACAGGAUUGAAUAACCUGGUCUUUUGCUGUUGCCAGGGGCAAAUUUGAAAUUUUCUGAAUACAUCCUUCAUCAAUUCCCAGGUGGACUAAAUGAGGUGCUCCUUCUCAAAUUGCUUUCCACCUGAGGAGGAGGUUAGUCUGUGUUUUAGUUCACUUGCUGCAGUGCUUGACCACCUCCAGAUUAUGGGGCAUGCGAGCAAAGAGCUACAGCUCUUCCACAGCCAAAGACUACAGCAGCAUCCCAAGAGAUGCCUUGAUCACUUACUGAUACAACCUGCACAAAACCUUGCACGAGUGUCCUCAAAAUGCUUGUUUGGAUGUCCAGGUGCCCUUCUGUCAGAAGGAAGGCUCCAGAAUGUGUGGCUGAAGAUGAGGGAUGAUUGCUGUCCUGGUGCCAUGGAAGGCUGAGUGCAGAUGGGAGCUCACCAGGAAGGGUUCAGAAUCUCCAGACUCCAGAAGUGGUUUUGAUCCAUUUCUUCUGCUCCAACACCUUUAUUCCUCUGAUGUCAGGGAGAAGUCCAUACACAGGAAGCUUCUUCAGAAACUCCCCAAUGACCUGAGUUGCUUUUCUCCAGCUCUGGAGAGAAAUGGCAAUGACAUCUCUCAUCAAUGACAUGUGAUCUGUCAACUGGAGAGACUGUUCCUCACACAGAGGGGAGUUAACAUGAGCUGAGAGAUUCCAGCACAUCUCAAAAGUUUUAUCAUAAGUCAGCCUUCAAAAAGGAUUAGAUGCAGAAGAUAUCACCGUGCCUUUCCAGUGCCAGAGGCACUAGAGAUGUAAAUUUAAGGAUGCAGUCAAUAUAACUACCUGAGAUAUGACUUCUCAGGGGCACCAUGUCUCCUCUCCCUUUCCACAGUCUGGACACUGCAAGUUUAUCCAAGGGCUCAGCUACUCUGGUAAGCAGAAAAGUCUCAAUAUGGAACAUAACAGAGAAUAGAGAGCAAAGGUGCUGCAGGGGCUCUGCAGAGUGGGAACAUGGACCUGGAAGCAUUUUCCCCUGUUUCUCUUGUUCCCACCAGCUCCUGUACACCCCAGUUCCCAGUGCCACCAUACAGCACUGCUCCCAGGCAUGAGGCAGGGUGACACAGAGGUACAUGGGUUGCUCUGGAGUAGCAGGAGUGCCAUAAAACCAGAUACUUUUGGAGUUCAUCUGGCUUUACACAGAGAAUUGUUUGAAAAGCACCCUCAUGUGCACCCUGCACAGAGCUCAUUGGCCCCAUGGUUUAAUUGCUGUGGCUCUGUGCUGUCCCAAAGCUGCCAAAGUGCUCCUGGAGUACAGCUGGCAACAGCAGCGAUGGCUGAGCUUGCAGCGUAGGGCAUCCAAGCCAUAACCAGCCUGGAUGUGAAGUGGCACUACAAGAGCCAGGUCCCAUGUCUCUAUCUGCAGAGCAGCACACUCACAGCCUGGACAAACAACUUGUGAGAAGCUGAGAUUUUAUUAUGUAUUCAAGUAAGUGUGUCUCCAUGACACCUGCUGUCCCACUUGGGUGACAGGCUUGGGUGGCACUGUCAGGUACAGACGGGGUUGCUGCAGACUGCUUCAUGGGGACAUCCAUCCUGUGAGCUCAGGGAGGAGCAAUUCCUCAGGGAAAUAUGGGAAAUCACCACUCAGAGGUGUGACCUCUGGAGCCACAUGAUCAAACGAGACAAAAACCCUUCUUGUAUAGCCGACUUUCUUCUUCAUGCAGCCACCAAGAAGUCUCAGCUGUGAUUUUUUUCCAGCUGUGCUGGUGGCAGAUGUCUAUGGGUGGAUUUUGAACUGGAGGAUUUAGCUGCACCAGUGCAAAAUCCCUGCUGUAAACAAGGCUGACAUCUGUAUCUGCCUUUUAUUUCUGCAGCAGCUUUCCUUUCUCCCCCUUCUCCUCUCUAAUAAAGAUAUCCUGGCAAGCUUCCUGUUUUUCAAGAAGGAUCAGAGCUGCCAGUUGCCCUGGCUUUGGCUUCAUGCAGGCCUCUUCCUCUGCCCCUAUUAAUUCCCCUGUAAAUCGGAUCACAAUGAAAGGGAAACGGCAGUGUAAUUUAAUUGUCCACUGGAGAGGGAUGCUGGCAAAGUCCUCAGGAGAUGCCUUUUUUAUCCCUAUAUGUUACUUUGCAGGAGAAGGGGGACACUCAGCAUUAGCUUCCUCUCACCAUGUGCCUUCUCAUAAUGCCCAGGAAUGAAUCGUGGAAGUUCACUGUGCCACGGCUUCCCUGCAUUGGGAGAAUAAGAAAAUGGAGAUGUCCCCACUCCACACUGGAUGUAGGAGUGGGGGGUGAAAAUUAAUUAGGCAAUUCUUGGACAGAGCUCUAAAAUAUAAUGUACUCCCUCAUUGUGGCUGUCAGGCAGCCCCAUAACUUGGCAGAGCACUGUUGGAUUCCAUCCUGUCUCCAGCAAGUUGGAGCUGGGGGUGGAAAAGGGAUGUGGAGCAGAGAGAUCUGUGUCAGAAGCGUUUCUGCAGAGAGACAGGUCCCUUAAUACAGAGAGUAGGGGCAGCAGCAGGAGUCCUGCAGCUGCUGUGGGCUGUGAAAUGGCUCUGGAACUAAAUUUAAAAGUGGCAAACGCUUGGGCACUCAAACCACUCUGGGUAGGAAGGCACAUGACAUGAACGGAGCCCCAGUGCUUCUGUGUCACUGAGCUCUUUCCCCCAGGCAACAUGGUGACAUGUGAUUUGGUAACACAGAUUAUGGUACAGUUUUUCCAUCAGGGCUUGCUCGGAUGCCUGCUUUCCUAGACAUGGUAGCAGGGAGUUGGACAGCUCCUCUGCUGUGGCUGAGGCACAGUGACAUGUUGGCCAUCUCGUCUUUUCUUGAGCUUUUCCUUGGGGACAGUGUUGGCUCUUCCUCUUAACUUCCUAGCAUUCCAUUAAAACUUUCACAAGUUUCUAAUCCUUUAGGGAACCGUCUCUAGCAAUUAGGAAACUGCUUUAAAGAUUAAAGUGAUGUUUUACUGGGAAUCUGAGAGCUGAUACAGUGGGAAAGCUCAAGAAAAGUGUUGAGCUGGAGUCAAGGGGCACUGGGGCUUUGCUCUGAGAUGAAUUUAUUUCCAGAGACUGAUACUCUGACAUGUGAGCUCAUAUAUGGUGGAAAGAUCAGCAGCAGGUGCCUCCUGCAUGGAGGGGGAGGACCCUGCACAUCUUUCCUCUCCCAAAUGGCAGGAACAAGACGGGGGAGGUGUAUGGGGCAACCUUGAGCCUCUUCACAGGAGCUGAGACUUUUAACUGCUGCCAUCAUCAGAAGUGUCACCAAAAUGGGUCUGCUGUUAAUAAUAGGUAGCCUGAAACUGUCACCUGUACAAUGUGCAGCACCAGUGGAACCUCUCAGCCCUUCAACCACUACUGGACACCAGGAACCAUCAGCUGCAUCAGGUGGUAGCUGCAAUUACACACACUGACAUUUUCAUGGUUUGGGUUCUUCUGCCUUGAAAUUCUCAAGCUGGUCUUCAGUUCCUCUCACCCAUCAAGACCAAAAGGACUUGCUGGUAAAAUAUUCCUUUUUCCACACUUUAAAAUAUCUGGCAUAGAAAAUGUACAUGCUUCUGACUUGCCCUCCAGGUGUCUUGAGAUUUAAUUAAUCCCAAGUCACAUUUGAAUAUCUUCUGAGACAGAGGCAUAACACGAAUCCACUUGCAUAGAAAAAGGCAUGCAGAUAAUUGCUUCUGUGUCUCUUAGUAUGGGGAGAAUGUCAGAGGGACAGUCACUUCCUCACAUAUUUCUGAUGAAUUACUGUUUUCAUUUAAAUUCUAUUAAAAAAUAUGUAAGUUGGUGUGCUC